CCCUUAGAUGUUCUGGGCUGCACGCGCGCUACACUGAUGCACUCAACGAGUUUACGACCUUGCCCGAUAGGGUUGGGUAAUCUUUUUAAAAUGCAUCGUGAUGGGGAUAGAUUAUUGCAAUUAUUAAUCUUCAACGAGGAAUUCCUAGUAAGCGCGAGUCAUCAGCUCGUGCUGAUUACGUCCCUGCCCUUUGUACACACCGCCCGUCGCUCCUACCGAUUGAGUGCUCAGGUGAAUAAUUCGGACUGCAGAAAUGUUUGGAUCCCGAACGUUGCAGCGGAAAGUUUAGUGAACCUUAUCACUUAGAGGAAGGAGAAGUCGUAACA
rnacentral:rRNA from 1 species